rnacentral:lncRNA from 1 species
GGUCUUUUUGCUUUUUUCUAGGGCCUCUUCCCGCGGCAUACGGAGGUUCCCAGGAUAGGGGUCGAAUCGGAGCUGUAGCCGCUGGCCUACGACAGAGCCACAGCAACAUGGGAUCCAAAGCCGUGUCUGCGACCUACACCGAAGUUCAUGGCAACGCCGGAUCCUUAACCCACUGAGCAAGGCCAGGGAUCGAACCCGCAACGUCAUGGUUCCUAGUCAGAUUCGUUCACCACUGCGCCACGACGGGAACUCCAAGCCCUCUCCUCUUUGAUGCACCGCCGUCCCUGUCUGUCACGCCACUCCUUCCCCUGCAGAGCUCAUGACCUUUUUUUCCCUGGGCUUCACCUCAGCAAAAGCUGAACUCAAUCUCUACCUUUCUUUUUUCUUUUUGUCUUUUUAGGGCAGCAGGUGCGGCAUAUAGAAGUUCCCAGGCUAGGGGUUGAAGUGCAGCUGUAGCUGUCGGCCUAUCCCCCCACAGCCACAGGAAUGCCAGAUCCGAGCCUCGACAGCGACCUAACCACAGCUCAUCACGACACCGGAUCCUUAAUCCACUGAGCGAGGCCAAGGAUCAAACCCACGUCCUCCUGGAUAUUAGUCGGGUUCAUUACCACUGAACCACAGUGGGAACUCCCACACUCUACCUUUCCCAGGGAGCCUUUCCUGAUCUAGGCCACCCAGCUCUGACCACUCCUUUCCCCAUUGCCUUUUCUUUGAGGUUGGAACCAGUACCACAUUGUUCACAAAUGGGCAGUGAUGGUGAUGAAGACGGUGGCUGGCAUUUCUUGAAGGCCUCCUACAGGCAGGUGUGGUGCCGCCCUCUCCAGGCGUCUGCUCCCCACCUCCCCUGAGCACCUUCAUUCGAUGAACGUGGUCACUGCUUCAGCGGACAUUUCUUAGGCACCUGUUCUGUGCCACUCUCCGAGGCCACAGGAAACAAGAAAUCAGUGCCUGCUGCUCCCGGGGAGUUCACAGGCUGAGGCAGAAGAGCAGGUGUGGGUGAUGGGAUGUGGCGGAAGCUCUAAGAGAGGCCACGAGCAUCCUGGGGACCAGCGAGUGGGGAGCGGGCGAAGCUGGCUCUGGUGGUGAACAGGCGGCCUCAGGAUCCUGGCGAGGCAAGACAUGCACAGGCCCACCCCAGGGCCUGCCGGAAAAAGGGCACAGGUCCAUGGUGAUCAAGGAGCCAGUCAGAGGGAGCUGGGUCUGCCUUGCACAAGUUUCCUUUCUUUUUUUCCUUUUUUAUGGCCGCACCUGCGGUAUAUGGAGAUUCCCAGGCUAGAGAUAGAAUUGGAGCUGUAGCUGCUGGCGUGCACCACAGCCAGCGGCUACAGCCUGGAUUUGACCCCUAGACUGGGAACCUUCAUGUUCUGUGGGUGUGGCCCUAAAAAGAAAAAAAAAAAAAGUGAGCCUGGCAAAAAAGCAGGGAAGGGUGUUCCAGGCAGAGGGAACAGCCUGGACAAAGCACAGUCAGUAUCGGUGGGGACCGAAAGCAGUUCGCGCUCAGGAGAAAGGAGAUGGAAAAGUGGAAAUGGGAGGAGGGGGCUGGGCCUUGAUCGCUGCACUGAGACGGCGAGUCUUCGUUGCCCACUUGACACUCCUGUCCUGCUCCCCCCCCCAACCCCCGCAGGUCCUGGAGGCUGGCAUUGAGGCGAACAUACCUGUGACCUAUGGAAUUGGCAGCCAGAGGGGAGAUGAGAGCACUGGCUGUCAAUUCAUAGGUCAGAGCCCUGUGCACUCGGUCUUGGCAGCCUGCCGACAGCCCACCACCCUGCACCAUCCUGGGCCUGGGAUCGUGGCUGUGGGGAUCCCUGCUGGUCUGCUGGACAACAGCCACCUCUCCUCCUCCGAGGGCACUGGCCCC